GCCCCUGCAAGGCCUUCUGGGAACCUUCUGGCGUCACGGUGUAUCAAGCAAGGCGCCAUAUGCAUUUGGAAAGAUCGGGCUAUGUGGUGUGGACAAAGCAUUGCUUUAUAGAUUCUAGUCCUUUCUUAGUGGAGCACUGCCAUGCCUGAAAGUGAUUAGCAAACAAAACAGAAAGUCGGAGAGCUGCGGCCGAAAUCUCGAGAUUACCUUCAAGCUGUUGAGUACGAUUCCUGCAUUUAACACGCGGGACGCUUGUUUAACAUGGCUGCUGUGGUCUUCGUAAUCCUUAAUGCAAAAGAACGAUUUUUGUGGAAUAUUUCGGUACUAGACAAAGCCACUCGAUGCUUUGGGCGACUAACAGCUGUAUCAAAGAUUUGGUCGGCAGGAUUUUCUGGAAAUAAUGGGUGAUAAAAUAGGUGGUCGGUUUAAAACUGCAUAUCUGGGAUUGAGCGUCAUUCUGAAGACAUGCAUAAGAAUUAAAUUUCCGAGGAGCCUAGAGUCGUCUGCAGCAAGAACUGUUAUUCGAUUGAUGCUCAGGUCUUCUGCUUUGCUGUUCGUUAUGCACAGAUGAAGCACACAGAAUCGCUGCUUUGAGGUACAUAAGAAGAGGAUGGUUUAUGACGCCCACCUUUGAUCACUAUGAGUUACAAGAAGCUUUAUAAUGCAGCACACCAAUACAGAGAGCACAAUAUUGCCAAAUGAUGUCACUGCCUGCAAGGUCAUGGUAUCAAACCAGAAAAGGGAUGCCAUAUUAUAACAGUCUGCUUCAUGCCAAGCAUCAAGGUGAAGAUAAUCGCUCACAAUGAAGAUAAUGGUGUUUACAGGUACUUACUGACAAUGUAUUUACUUAAGAUGUUUCAACUCAAAGGACUUCUGUUACAGAAGGCCAUGCUUAAAGAAACAUUUUUGUUGAUUGGUUGUUCUAAGGUCUGUAGCAUAAUUUUAUAUACAUUUUCACCAGUAUUGCCAAUAAAAACAGUUCACGGUCGGGCGAGGUAGCAUGUCCUUUAACCAUUGAUUCUCAAGACUGCAGGACUUUGUCAACGACCGAGGGGUACUAUCCCCUAGGCUUCAAGAAAAGAUUGAAAACCUGAGACUGUGCAUUUUUAUUUCAUAAUUUUCAUGUAAAAUAGUUUUGAAAUGAGAGUGUGACACCCAGUAUAGCAAUUUAUGUAUUUGGAAUUUAUAACUAUUAGGUCUUGUCAUUUUUUUCUUUACAUAAAUGUAUUCUUAAAACAGUGCCAAAAAAUGAACAAUGCUCCAUGCUCUUAGUCUCAAAGGUUUGUGCUCCACACAGCUGUUUGCCACUCACAACAGUUAAAAUAAGCUUGAUAUUUUUUUAUUUAUUUUUGUUUUUAGUAUCUUCACAUCGCACAAAUGCAAAGUUGAUUUGUCUUUUCCUUUUUUUUCUCUUUUUUUUUUUUUGUUUAAUUUCCAUAUGCAUCUUGAGUUCAGCAUCAGACCGGCUCAGAUUUAAAGCACUCCCCAGGGGAACUUCCAAAAGUAGAGUUAGUGAAAGCAGGCUUCUCAUGUUUUUGAAACAUUAAGUCGUUGCAGUUGACUGCACAGCAGUGUCUUACUUUGGUGUUUCUCUCAUUUAAUUGUUAACUUGUGAUGGAAUUGUAGCACGAGGGAUGAUCAGUCUCCUGCUCCUCUUGACAACAUAAAUUAAGGAUUAGAAUGUGUUUGAUAAUCGAUAUGUGGAGUGCAUUUUUGUCAUGUGAGUUUGAGCUCAGUCUUCCUCAACAAGACAAAUCAUAUGACAACAAUUUUCUGUUAAUGACGUCGAAACUUGUUUUUAUGCUUUAUUUUAGCCAUGUCUUAUCUGAGUACUGCAGGCUCAAUCUAAUGAUAAAGUUAAAGGUAGCAGACAACAUUUGCAAAAAACAUCUAUAUUCUUUUGAGUCUUCCAAAUUUUUUUUUAAGAACACACCAAUAGUCACCUAAGCUAUUCUUUUGCACUCGCCCACACAGCUUGUGCUUAAGGCCAGGCAUGUCCCAAAAAAUUAUGUUUCAUAGAAUGACGCUUGUUGUUUUAUACCAUAUGCUUUGAGCGGAAGUUCAAAAAAUUGUUUUAUUGCCCUUUAUUAAAACCACCAUCUGCUUUUCCUUUUUGGACACUGUUGAAGUUGUGUAAAAUUGCCCAUCUGUCAAAAGUGUUCAAUCAAUCGCAUUUUGCCUGAGCUAGGCGACCCACACCAUGCUCACCCAGCCUCUCUUCCUUAGUUUGCGCAAAGCUGUCCCCAGUCUUUUAUGAGCAUGAUUAAGGCAAUCUAUCUUCUGUACUUUUUGUUCAUAAUCAGGGUGUGGGUUUAGAUCACAAACUGCCUUAUAUGCUGAGGAGUCACCAUCAGAAAGCAUAUCCAUAUAACAAAAACCAAAUUUAUUUAACAGACCUCCCCACACACAAUUUUGGCUGCCUCUGACUCCAUAGCCUUGCUUGAAAGAGAAUGAUUCUUACAGCAAUCUGGGGCAUGCUUUUCUUUCCAAGCAGCUAGUUCAGCUGCUGAUAUCCCUCUUAACUCUGCAAAUUUACAUGCAUGACAAUAUUUUGACAAAGCACAAAAAUUUUUAAGGCCUGUAAAAGAACAAUACCCGGAGGUCAUAGAUUUUUUCCCUCGAGGCACUUUCUUCAGGAUCUAAUGAAAAUAUCAUACCCAAUCAUCCUACUUUCACGACGCCAGUUCCUCUUGUCUUUCACUCUCUCCAACACACCAGUGGUUCGGACAAUUGCGCGUUCUUUCACUCAGAAAACAAAGAUUCGCCUGUACGAGUCUGCUCGUGUUUACUAAACGAAAACUCAAAAGAACAAAUCCUGACUAAAAAAAUACAGUCACUAGCACAACGGCUUCUUCAUUGACUAUCACACUCAAUCUUCUGCUCACUCGCGAGGCACAUUGUCUUGGCAAAGGCUCUCUUCUAAAUCACUCCGUCUUCUAUCCGCUCUCUAACCUCUUUCUCCUUCCACUCACUAACGUUCUUCCUCUAUCUACUCUCUAACGUCCUUUCCUUCUUCUAUCUGCCUUCUAACGUCCUUUUUCUAGCUGCUUCCCAACGUUACCUCAUUUUGACGUCACUUUACGUCAUUUAUCACGUUCCAUUUAUAAACGUCCAUCAUUCGCACCCAUUCAUCCACACACACGCCCAGUCCUAGCACUCUGACUAGAUCCAUGACAUCUACUAACCUUCAUGUCUUACAAAAAAAUAUAUAUAGUAAAAAUAUUAAGGAUGUUAUUUAAUCUAGUACAGAAUCCGCAAAAUCAUUAACAGAUAGCACCAAAGCAUGAAAAAUCCCUUACGUAUCACUUUUUUGUCAUGAUUCUGAAAAGUCGAUAGGGCCAUGCCUGGUAUGCCCAUAACAGUGGAGAAGGUUUGCAACGUAGCAUGGCUUUCUCCGGUUUCGUGACUAAAAAGUGUCAUUGGUUGGUUCACUUCGAAGGUCUCUUUUGUGCUGCCGCUGCCUUGGACACGUGGUGACGAGUUGCCAAAAUGUUAAUAAGGACAAUUAUCACACUUCAAACUAUGAGGAGAAGCCCGUAUUCUCACGUACACAAAUAGUGUAGGAAAGGCACUUCUCCCUGCAUUCGGGACAAGAUACAUCUGCUAGAGAUUUUGCUCUGCCUGCACACAUUUACGAUCAUCUACAUCUGCAGUAAAACAUCACCAAUAUUGCCAGGAAAAUUCAAAGCUUUGAUUUUUUCCCGCGAGGCACUUAUCUCCGGAUCACUAGUAACAGAUGUGUCAGGGUUUUUGGAUGUUGCAUGGCAUCGAAUUGUGCAGAUGCAUUCGUCGUUUUCCUCCAUUUUGAGAAAAAUAACCUUCUGACGCGUGCAGUGAAUGUCUCAGAAAGAAAGAAUACUAUAGUUGCCAUUAUUUCAUUUGUUUACAACCGGAAAGCAUGCUUAGUGGUUUUUGUGACAGCCGAAAAUUUUUGAAGUGUGUUCGGGUGACCUGUAUAUCGGCCAAGGCCAGUAGUGAACACUUGUGAUUGGCUGCAUGUAAAUUGUAAGUACGCAUCGUCCAUAUUUUCCAAUCUUUUGUCUUAUCUCGAAAAGAGCGAGAAUAUACUGGUUGACCUAGUUUUUCAAACAAACGAGUUGCAAAUUCAUAACAUUCUAAUGUCUCAAAAUGGUAACAAAUAAAGAUUUUUGUCAGAUUCUA